AUUGAACGCUGGCGGCAGGCUUAACACAUGCAAGUCGAGCGAGCGGCGGACGGGUGAGUAAUGUCUGGGAAACUGCCUGAUGGAGGGGGAUAACUACGGGAAACGGUAGAUAAUACCGCAAACCAUCAGAUGUGCCCAGAUGGGAUUAGCUAGUAGGUGGGGUAAUGGCUCACCUAGGCGACGACCCCUCGCUGGUCUGAGAGGAUGACCAGCCAACCUGGAACUUGGCAAAUGGCCAGACUCCUAAGGGGUGCAGCAGUGGGGAAUAUUGCAAAAUGGGCGCAAGCCUGAUGCAGCCAUGCCGUGGUGGUGAAGAAGGCCUUCGGGUUGUAAAGCAAUUUCAGGGAGGAGGCGUUACUCGCAGAAGAAGCACCGGCUAACUCCGUGCCAGCAGCCGCGGUAAUAC
rnacentral:rRNA from 1 species